UUUUUUUUCAAAAAUCUUGAAAACCAUGUCAUCUCGCGAUCAAGUAUCGAAGAUGUUGAUGAGCAAACUCUUCACCAAUUCAUUGUGCUCAAAGAUUCAAUGGAAAAAAAGAGGAAACGGCAGGCGUCCAGGAUUCGGUCAUCUGACCAAUCUGAUUGCAGUUAUGGGAGUUAUUAUUAACAUCAUACGGGAAAUCAACAAUAAGGCACCUAAAGUGGACUUCAAUGAGCUAAUAGGAACCAUCCAAAGCGCUCGUCGCAUCUUUUUGUUCGAGUUAAAAAACAAAGAAUUGAAUCAAAUCGAAGUCCCAGACGAGGUAGAAGGGCACAGAGCCGAUCGUAAAACCCAACUCGCUGUAGACAGCAGAAUGGCAGAACUGUACAACGCCAUCCUGAAUUUUGAACUAAAUUAGCGGUUUAUGUACAAGUCAUCUGUGUUCAGCAGUUAUUGAUUCCUCAAGUACAUCUCGUGUUUAAUUGCUCAUUUCAUUGCUCAUUUAAGAAUUUUAUGACGUUUCAGUUUAAGCAAUAUGACAAUACAUUUGAGAAUCCCAGAGUAAAA